AGCUUUGCGCAGUGGCAGUAUCGUAGCCAAUGAGGUUUAUCCGAGGCGCGAUUAUUGCUAAUUAAAAUUAUAUGUCUGAAACAUCACAUGAUAUUGCAUUUAUUUUCAUCCAUGUCAUCAUUAUUCUCUCUUGGAG